GACGAACGCUGGCGGCGUGCUUAACACAUGCAAGUCGAACGGAAAGGCCUCUUUCGGGGGGUACUCGAGUGGCGAACGGGUGAGUAACACGUGAGUAACCUGCCCUUGACUUUGGGAUAACUUCAGGAAACUGGGGCUAAUACCGGAUAGGAGCUCCUGCUGCAUGGUGGGGGUUGGACAGUUUCGGCGGUUGGGGAUGGACUCGCGGCUUAUCAGCUUGUUGGUGGGGUAGUGGCUUACCAAGGCUUUGACGGGUAGCCGGCCUGAGAGGGUGACCGGCCACAUUGGGACUGAGAUACGGCCCAGACGCCUACGGGAGGCAGCAGUGGGGAAUAUUGCACAAGGGGUGGAAGCCUGAUGCAGCAACGCCGUGUGCGGGAGGACGGCCUUCGGGUUGGAAACCGCUUUCGCUCAUGACGAAGCUUUGUGUGACGGUAGUGGGUAAAGAAGCACCGGCUAACUACGUG
rnacentral:rRNA from 1 species